GACGGAGGGUGCAAGCGUUAUUCGGAAUCAUUGGGCGUAAAGAGCGUGUAGGCGGCCGGUUAAGUCAGGUGUGAGAGCCCGGGGCUCAACUCCGGAAGUGCACUUGAUACUGGUCGGCUUGAGUUCGGGAGAGGGAAGCGGAAUUCCUGGUGUAGAGGUGAAAUUCGUAGAUAUCAGGAGGAACACCGGUGGCGAAGGCGGCUUCCUGGACCGAAACUGACGCUGAGACGCGAAAGCGUGGGGAGCAAACAGG
rnacentral:rRNA from 1 species